UACGUAGGGGGCAAGCGUUAUCCGGAUUUAUUGGGCGUAAAGAGCGUGUAGGCGGCCAUACAGGUCAGCUGUGAAAACUCGAGGCUCAACCUCGAGACGUCGGUUGAAACCGUAUGGCUAGAGUCCGGAAGAGGAGAGUGGAAUUCCCGGUGUAGCGGUGAAAUGCGCAGAUAUCGGGAAGAACACCCGUGGCGAAGGCGGCUCUCUGGGACGGUACUGACGCUGAGACGCGAAAGCGUGGGGAGCAAACAGG
rnacentral:rRNA from 1 species